rnacentral:rRNA from 2 species
GAACCUGCGGAGGGAUCAUUACAGAGUUUUUAACUCCUAAAACCAUGUGAACUUACCACUGUUGCCUCGGUGGAAGGUAUCCGAAAGGGUGCUGGAAGCCGGCGGACAUCUAAACUCUUGUUAAUUUUUGUUAUUCUGAAUCAAACUAAGAAAUAAGUUAAAACUUUCAACAACGGAUCUCUUGGUUCUGGCAUCGAUGAAGAACGCAGCGAAAUGCGAUAAGUAAUGUGAAUUGCAGAAUUCAGUGAAUCAUCGAAUCUUUGAACGCACAUUGCGCCCAUUAGUAUUCUAGUGGGCAUGCCUGUUCGAGCGUCAUUUCAACCCUUAAGCCUAGCUUAGUGUUGGGAGACUGCCUAAUACGCAGCUCCUCAAAACCAGUGGCAGAGUUUUUACGUACUCUGAGCGCAGUAAUUCUAUUCUCGCUUUUGAACACGUCUAGACGAUAGCCAAAAACCGCUUGCCUCGGCAGCACUUUUUAAUGGUUGACCUCGGAUCAGGUAGGAAUACCCGCUGAACUUAAGCAUAUCAAUAAGCGGAGGA